ACUGAACUGAAACAUAUACAUUAAUAUACAAUGUCCAGAGAAUUUUAAUUGUAACAUUUCAAAGUAACAUGGUGACUCACCUGCCUGAAGACAUGCAGUAAUCAAUCCACAUUCUCCAAGUCCCCAUAGUUUUUGACUCUGAAGGAACUUCUUUUGGAAGAAGCCUGCAGAAAGAAAGGAAGGCUACUCUGUGUUGUAGGAGACUAUUACCACACUUUGCUCUGAAAGAAAAGUCUAAGGAGUAGAAAAGUUGUUGGGAAACGGGACUGCAAAACACUUUAAGGACAAACUGUGGGAGUAGAAACACCAAGGAAAAACAACUGCCUGACUACAGCGGUUGAAGGGACAUGACAGAGGAGAGACUCUAAACGAACAUUCUAAUGCAAAGACUAACAACAUGGCAAUGGGUUCGAAUCAAGAACACAUGUGAUACCCAGUGAAAUCACGCGUCAGCUAUGGGGGUCGGGGGGGGGGGAGGAAAAGAAAAUGAUCUUUGUCUUUAAUGAAUAAUGCUUGG
rnacentral:lncRNA from 1 species